CAUAGUGAAGAUGGUGGUCAUUUUAUUUGAGUACUAAGUGUAGAACCCAUAACAGAUGCCUAAGGGCUGACGUAAUCCCUCUCCAAUGAUGAAGGAGUUGACUGUGACCAGCCUGGGUAGAGCGUGCAUAGACUGUGAAUGGCUGUACCCACGCGGACUCAAUUCUUCUCCCAAGAACCGGAUCACCGCGCUGAUGUGAGGAAGCCCCGCCACC